UGGCUGCAGGGUGCAGUCAUUUCCUGAGUGGAGGGAGUGGGAGGCUGGCAAAUCCACAGAGGAGGAAAGCCAGCUAUGUAGGAAGAAGCCCAGGAAAACAGCAGCAAGAGAUAGGACUGUAUGGGGACUGUAGCUGUUUGUUAUAGGGUCUCUGGGCUGGAACCAUAGGAACCAACUCUGUGGGUGCUCUGGGGCUGGAGCACCCACAAGGAAAAAUGGGGAGGACUUUAGUGAUCUGGCUGGAGGGCCUAGCCAUGGAGAGGAAGCUGCAGACCUGGGAGUGAGCAGGGCAGCAGAGCGAGACAAGAUGGGAGAAGAAAACACCGGAGGGAGAACACAAGAUGGCAGAACUAAUCCCCAGGACAGCUGGCAGGAGGUGCUGUUCAUGAGGCCUGACCCUGAAGCCGUCCGGAACCCCGCCCAUUCCGCACACCAGAACUGCCAGUCUGAGACCAUGCAGACACACUGAGGGUAUAUGCUGAACCCCAAACACCUGGACCACUGGAUCUUUUCCCUGCACUACCAUUGGACCCUGACUAUUUGUGAACUCAUCCUGCUGCAGGAUCUGAAAUGGACUGCAUCAUCUUCACAAAUUGCCCGAUUUCUGGCUGCUUAGGACACGACUCCCUUCCUGGCCUCUUGCUCUUUUCUUUCUCCUUCCUGACCUUUCCAGUUGUUCCCUGGUCCAGGAUAGGCAACAAAUGGCCCCCUGUAUCAAGCAGCUGUAACGGGUCAGUUAGCCCAUCCCGCUGCCCACCUGGUCUUGUAGCUUCACAGGGUGUGGCUGCCGUUCAUGCUUGCUUAGCCCUGGCACACCAUUGUGCCGCCCAUGGUCCCAGCCCUGCAGCCUGCCAGCCAUGUGCCUAGCACAGUCAAGCAGGUUUGGGCUGUUGCCAGACAGCUGCCUAUGCUCCAUGCCGAACAGAGCUGCUCCGCAUGCUCUGGUGGUCCUGACUGCUAGGCAAACUGGCAGACAGAAAGUGGCCCUGAAUGCAGGGUUCCUGUUACGGUUCCAAAUCCUGCGAGAUCUCCGGCCUGCCACAGAAGUCUUAUGGGAGCUGGAAAUCUUACAGGGACUUGGCCCAUGCUGUCCUUUAAUGCCCUCUCACAACAUGGGAGCCACCCAACUUACCCGUCAUGAAGCUGGGUGCCAUUUUGACUCCACACAGAAGUUUGCUUUACCAAAAGAAUGUCACUCCCUCCCACCCCCCAGCAUGAAGCGAUUCAGGAGGCCUCAGUGUAAACCAAACGAUGAGAUUAACUAGUACAUUGUAUUGCGUAUGGUGGUUUUUCAGGGAACUGAGAUAUGAAAGGGCCUAGUGGAAGAACUCUAAAGUCUCCUGUGUGCAAUGGAGCCAGGCUCUUUAGUAGUCAACUCUGCAGAACUUCACAGGGGGAUUUUAUAAGUGGGUUGGGAGAGUGGUGACAGCCAGAUGCACUGGCUAAAAUCCCUUUGUGGAGUGAGUGCCAUAAGCUAUAUAGCUGUAGUUGAUAGUCCGGUCACUAAUACUUGUGAUUGAAAAUAGUUACUUCUUGAACCAAAUUCCUUGCAUACUACGACCCCAUCUACAUUAUGGAAAUGUGCAUAUAUGCAAAGCCCUUAUGUAAAUACACUGCAUUGUCAUAAAGUGGAAUUUGCAAACCAGUUUUGCUUUAGCCAGCAAUGUACAGAAAAGCAUGUUUUUACACAAGUAUAUUUUUCUUAAUAUAGACAGGACUUAAAUUUACCCCAGUGCAAAUUUCCUUAAUGUAGACAGAGCAUGAAAUGAGAAUAGUCUCUCCUCUACUGUACUGUAGAAGUAAUGUCUCAAGAUGUUGAGACAUUGCUUCCUUAAAUCUUGCCCCAACAUGACA